UGUAUGUUUAAUAUUAUGGGGUUUGC
rnacentral:piRNA from 1 species